rnacentral:rRNA from 1 species
UGGGGAAUAUUGCACAAUGGGCGCAAGCCUGAUGCAGCGACGCCGCGUGGGGGAUGACGGCCUUCGGGUUGUAAACUCCUUUCGCUACCGACGAAGCCCCUUUGUGGUGACGGUAGGUGGAGAAGAAGCACCGGCUAACUACGUGCCAGCAGCCGCGGUAAUACGUAGGGUGCGAGCGUUGUCCGGAUUUACUGGGCGUAAAGAGCUCGUAGGUGGUUUGUCGCGUCGUCUGUGAAAUUCCGGGGCUUAACUCCGGGCGUGCAGGCGAUACGGGCAUAACUUGAGUGCUGUAGGGGUAACUGGAAUUCCUGGUGUAGCGGUGGAAUGCGCAGAUAUCAGGAGGAACACCGAUGGCGAAGGCAGGUUACUGGGCAGUUACUGACGCUGAGGAGCGAAAGCAUGGGUAGCGAACAGGAUUAGAUACCC